AAAGAGAGAGAAAGAAAGUUGUGAACUAGUAGAUGAAAACAAACAAGAAAUAGAAGAAAUAAUAGUAAAUAAAGUAGCUGAAAAUUUUGUAGCUUGAGUUCGAUCCUUGUUGCAAAUAAAAAGUAAAGUUUAUACAGUUUAAAUUGUUUGAAGUGCAGGAAAGUUGGUGGUAAAGUGCCGAUAAUCUGGGAUCUGUUUUCGGAUCAAAAUUCCCAUUGGUGCAACUGCCAUCCUGUCCGUGUCGACGGCGACCUGAAAGGAGAAGAAAAAGUGAAAAUAGGAGAAGUUUGUAAGGCGAAAAGGAGAAAGUGGAAGUGAAUUGUAGAUUGUAGAUCGCUCUACGGAAACGCUAUUUGGUGUUCAAAGAAGGAGUAAGAAACCAAUUAUUGUAAGUAAACUAUAGAGUAAAUUAAGUGUAUAAGUCUAAUAAAGAAUUUUGUAGUUUGAGCUGCCACGAAACAGUGCUGCUUCGAAAACUGGUUCAAGUCCGAACAGAGCCCAUAAGCAGUCAUGCUGAAGACCAGCCCAACACUAACAUCACGGAAAAACAGACAUAACACUCUUAUUAUUCAUUUCGUACACUGAUAUAACGAUCCUUUUGAAAAUUUGCUAGUUGGCCGACCAACCAGCCCUGGCACUUGUAUUGGUUUGCUUGGGCUUGACAUUUGACGGACACUACCGCUCAUUGAUUAAUGGUUGGCCAAACUAUAUCUUUUUUGUCAUUAGGUGAACAUGCUUCCGUUACUAUGUUUUACAUCGAGAAGCGUUAGGGCUGUUUGUCCGUGCUAUAAAUCCCAUGCUAUGCAUUAUUGAUCGCCUACAUAACUAUGAUAGCAUUAUUGAAUAGCAUAUGUUUAGAAGAAGAGAAAAUCUCUGAUGACAUUGUUAGCAGCUGUCAUGGCAACCAAUCUCAGCAGCAUUACUCGAAAGAAUAGCUCAUGUUCUAAGGAAAAAUCUGUGAUUGAAAUAUCAUCAGUCAUUUUUUAUGUUCGUUGAUAUGCAUCAUUAGCCUCUUUAUCAAGCACAGCCUAUGACUAGGGAUCAUAUAUGUAGCCGAUGUGGUUAGCCAACGGGUAGUCAUGCUGAGAGUGAUAGGUUCGAUUCUUGCUCGGACCAGGAACUUUUUGUAAUGGAAAAUUACUCAACUACAGCGGGCAUAAUGUAUCUUCUCGCCUGUCACACGAUAUACAAAUGUAAAGUGGUCAUUGGCAGAGAAGGCUCUCAAUUAAUAACUGCAGAAAUGCGUAAAGAAACUGUGAAACAGGCUUUGUCUCAGAUGGGAUGUUACGCCAUAAAAUAGAAGAAGAAGAAGUACUAUAACUCCUUUCCUUCGUUUUCGCAAAUUCAGCCUUUUGUGCAUUCAGCCUUUUGAAAUUUAGCCUUAUGUUACUUUCAGCUUUUUGUGUUCAGCCUUUUUUGCAUUCAGCCUUCUAAAAUUCAGCCUUAUGUUAGCAUCCCGUUAAUUUAGAUGUUAAUUGACCAAUUUACCCUUUCUUUGAUUAAAAACAAUAUUGUCAUGCUUAACGGCUUGCAAUCAAAAAAGCCCAAUAUUACAUAUUUUGCCCUAAAAAAUUGGGGUUUAGCUCAAAAUUGUGACGAGCUGGAGCAAAUCUGAGCCCGGAUUCGGAUUCAGGGGCCCAAAAUCUGUCAGAGACACAUAAGUUUGCUCUUGAGACAAACCAAUAGUUAAUUUUUGUUACGCUGUGUAAUUGAUAAAGCUGUAGAUUUAUUCAGAAACGAUUAACUUAAUUUCGUCGAAAAGUUGAUUAAGAGCAUUUCAAGCUAAACUAAGGGGCUGUCC